rnacentral:rRNA from 1 species
GUCCACGCCGUAAACGAUGUCAACUAGCCGUUGGGAGGAUUGCCUCUUGGUGGCGCAGCUAACGCGAUAAGUUGACCGCCUGGGGAGUACGGCCGCAAGGCUAAAACUCAAAUGAAUUGACGGGGGCCCGCACAAGCGGUGGAGCAUGUGGUUUAAUUCGAUGCAACGCGAAAAACCUUACCUACCCUUGACAUCCUCGGAACUUGUCAGAGAUGACUUGGUGCCUUCGGGAACCGAGUGACA